AUUUUCUGCCACCGAAUACAUUAGCAUGGGAUAAUGGAAUAGGACCCUGUCCUCCUAUUUUCAGUUGGUUUUGGCAGCGCGAGGACUAGGGUAAUGAUUAAUAGGGAUAGUUGGGGGCAUUAAUAUUUAAUUGUCAGAGGUGAAAUUCUUGGAUUUAUGAAAGAUUAACUUCUGCGAAAGCAUCUGCCAAGGAUGUUUUCAUUAAUCAAGAACGAAAGUUAGGGGAUCGAAGACGAUCAGAUACCGUCGUAGUCUUAACCAUAAACGAUGCCGACCAGCGAUUAGGAGACGUUGAAUACAAAACACCACCAUCGGCUGCGGUCGUCCUUGGCGUCUCGGUUUCGGCCGGGGCGCGGGGAUGGCUUAGCCCGGUGGCACCGGUGAAUGACUCCCCUAGCAGCUUUGU
rnacentral:rRNA from 1 species